rnacentral:lncRNA from 1 species
CCAUACCUUGACAGAGGGAACAGAAGUGAACAUGAUACCAGCUCACUGGUGUUGCUCACCUCUCCUUUCUCUUACUUUCCCAGCUGGAAGCACUGUAACACCUUCUGAACUCUUCCAUAUAUGUAGUUAGGCUAAUACAAGUCUACACUCAGCACACUUUCUCAUCACUCUUGUGUGGCGUACACUUUUCUACUCUUGUUUUUUUGCUGUUAGUUGCAACUCUGGGGAAUUUCUUUGCUGAUACAUAGGAUAUAUUGGCUAGUUUAGUUAAAUGAAAUUGCUAUGGGUAUGAAAGCUUAAAUGUAAAAACAGGCUGAGGUGGUAACUUGGAAUGACUACACUAUUUUGCUGGGAAUAUAGUCUAAUCUCGUAAGACCUCUCAUGCAUUUGCAGUGUGUGUGUAGAAGCUGAUGAAGAUUGAAGUGUUGGAAGCACAGUGUUCAUGCUGAAGAAUAUGAUAGUCUUCUGUUUCAAGAGGGGGAGAGCCAUCUGUCGUGAUCCAGUCUCUGGCACUGAAGAGGACAGCAGUGACUAGUGAUUAACUAAACUUUGGUCAUCACAAUUGUUUCUUGACUGUCCUGGGGAGCUAUACAGCCUUCAGUGAGGAACAGGGAACUGAAACUGCUUGUGGAAUUUUUCAACUGGUGAAUACCUGCUGCUGCAGAGAGGAUCUCAAAUGUACACCACUCACAAAUCAGGAUAAAAUCAAACAGGAUUCUGGAGAUGCCGUGCUCUACUAUUCUACAGUGCUUCAUAAAACUAUGUGAGAUGUGCCCAUGCUGAUUCACCUGGUCUGCAGUUAGCAUCUAUCAACAAACUGCUACCUGCACCUUCAUCUGGAGGGAAUCCAGAGCAAGGAAAUCACAAGGAAAUACUUAGAGGUAAGAGUGCUUAGAUUUUUGUCAUUCAUUCUCUCCUCUAGUGAUAAAAUGCGCAGAUGAAUCUGUGCAAUUGUGUGGAC